GGCAGAGGCUUCCUCAUGCCCUAGAAACUCAAAUGAUUUUGGACAGAGAACCCAGCAGGUGGAUUAUAGUCAUUUGAAGGACAUCAUCCUGUUUGGUAGAUUCUUUUAAUAAAUACUGAAUUAUCCCUCCAGGAUAGCAGCAUGCCAUUUGUAGAGUUUUUUCUAAAGUGUUCAAUGGAAUACAAGUACUCUGUAUCUUAGCAAUUUAACGGUUUAUCAACUCUGUCACCAAGGGAAACCACAGAAUACCUUCAGCACCAAGUUUCUUUUCUACAUUUGGUAUUAAAAAUAAUUUAAACGUAAUUUUAUAAAAUCUGAAAAAAUAGCCUCCUUCCAGGUCUCAUUGAUCCAUGGUUCUUACAUCCAUACUUCUAGACUAAAGGGAUUAGGGUUUCUUUAUAUCCAUCAACAUACUCUUGAUAGUUCCAUCAAAAGUCAUUAAAUAGUAAGAAAGGUGAGAGUACAAAAACAACUGUAGCCGCACUGAAUGAUUUUCAUUUGGGUAUGGACAAUUUGCCAUAUGACAAAUCGAACAGCUUGUAGACAUACUUUGUGUGCAGGCUUGAACAUUCUUUUUUUUUUUUUUGCUGACUUUCAUUUACUUAGAAAAUACUCUACAAAGAUGAAGACUUUUAGGCAAAAAGAAUGCAAGUGUCCAAUGUUUCAGAGUUUAUAAAUGGAAAGAUUCUGUCACAAGCUCCACAGUGGUUGAAUUCAGAAGAUACUGCACUAAGUGAAACAAGCCAGUCACAGAAAGAUACUGUAUAGUUCUACUUAUAGGAGGUUUCUAACACAGUAAACAAAGGUAGAAUGGCGGUUGCCUGGGGCUGGAGGAGGAAACAGACUGUUGAUACCUCAUGGUAGAGUUUUCGUUUUGUAAAAUGGAAACAUUCUAGAGAUAGCAUCAUACAACAAUGGGAACAUACUAAUGUUAAUUUACUGUAUAUUUAAAAUACUUUAAAAUAAUUUUUAGAUUUUAAAUAAUAAAGUUUUUAAAAGAUGAAAGACUUUAGCUUCUUUUGAUACUGAUUAGCAUGGUCUAUGCAUGAUAAUGGAACCUUUUUCAGUCUUCCAAAAACACAACACACAUAUAUUCUAAAAUAAGCACAUUGGUUUCACCUGAAUGACAAAAUAAUUCAACACACCCAUAUAUUUAUCACAAUUGUAAUUUUAUAACAGCAGUUAAAUUAUAACCAUAGCUAAAAUUUUGUUAAUAUUGGUUCCCCCAUCCUUUUUCUUUUUCCGAAUAUUCCAAAACUAUGGAGAGGUUUAAUUACAGUCUAAACACUUCUUUCAGGAAUUCAGAAUAUCUUAUUACAUAAAAAUAGUAUAUGGAAAAAAAAGAAAAAAUAGUAUAUGGAAUUUAAAUGUUAUAUUUUCCAUAGUGCUUUAAAUUCUUCAAAUAUAGAAUACCAAUAGCUAUGUGGGAAAGACUACAGUGACAUCUCGCAAUUGCAGGAAUAGAAAUGUAGAGUGGAAAGGACCUGCCUUGAUAUGCCGAGGAACUGCUUGAUUGUUAUGACCUUAAUUUUUUAUAGGGGAACAUCUUUAUUUCUUACAGAUAAAAUAAGAGGUAGAUUUUCUUUUAAAACUUGAUUUUUUAAAAAAUCACUGCUGGUCACAAAAAAGAAAGAGCCAUUCUCACCCAGUGAUGAGUAAAUUCCUGUCUUCAGGGCCUUGUUAUAUUUAUAUGUUCAAUAAAAUGGUGUUACUGAAAAUAUAGUUGCUUAUUUUGGCUAACUCAAGAAUCUUACAAUUUGAGAGUGGGAAAAGAUAUUUUAUUAUAAAACAUUUUGAUAGGUUAAACUCAAAGAUGAAUUUGACGUAGUAAAGCUCUAGUUAUUUAUACAGUUGCCACUAUUUCUAUAAUAUGAAAGUGAAAUAUUGUUUCACAUCUCAAAUAUCAUUCUGAUAUCUGGAGAAAAAAAGAACUUGCAUUUGCUUUUUAUGCUGUGAUGAAACACAUGAUGUAAUCAGCUUAAGAAGAGGGAAGCUUUCUUUAUGUUGGUUCAUGAUUUAGGACUAUUUGGACCAAGCCAUAACCAUGGUUGGAAGGAGAGGAGUGUGGCAAAAAAAGUAUGCCUAUUUUGUGAGAUCCUGGAAGCCAAAAAUAUAGAAGCGGGAUAGGAAUAAUUUCCUUUUUAAAGAAUGUGGGUUCAUGGUUUAACUUCUUAGGUUCUGCCACCACCUCCUGACACUGGCAUGGCUGAAAACUAAGCCUUUAACAUUACAGACUUUGGGGGACAUUCCCAAUCCAGACUAUGGUACUGCUGGGGAUACAAAAUAACUUGUAUUAAGUCUGAAGAGCUUUCUGGGUUCUUCACUAGAACUGGAAUUUGGUUCUAUUAUGUUCUCAUUUUAUACUCUAGAAAGCAAUACUUAACAAAAUAAUUUGAACUAAGAAGUUACUUGGUUCUUUUAAGGUGUGCCAAAGAGUCAUUAUAUAAAAGG
rnacentral:lncRNA from 1 species